UACGUAGGGUGCAAGCGUUGUCCGGAAUUAUUGGGCGUAAAGAGCUUGUAGGCGGUUUGUCGCGUCUGCUGUGAAAUUUCGGGGCUCAACCCCGAACUUGCAGUGGGUACGGGCAGACUAGAGUGUGGUAGUGGAGACUGGAAUUCCUGGUGUAGCGGUGAAAUGCGCAGAUAUCAGGAGGAACACCGAUGGCGAAGGCAGGUCUCUGGGCCAUAACUGACGCUGAGAAGCGAAAGCAUGGGGAGCGAACAGG
rnacentral:rRNA from 1 species